CGAUGAUGAUGAUGAUGAUGAUGAUGAUGAUGAAUAACAGUUCCUGGUGACACAUAUAUGUUCAUUCCAGCUAUGUAUCAUCAUCAUCAUCAUCAUUUUGC